rnacentral:rRNA from 1 species
GACGAACGCUGGCGGCGUGCUUAACACAUGCAAGUGGAGCGACGAACCAGGGCUUGCCCUGGGGCAGAGCCGCGAACGGGUGAGUAACACGUGGGUAACGUGCCCCGAUGACUGGGACAACCCGGGGAAACCCGGGCUAAUACCGGAUGUGCCCCCUCACAUCAGUGAGGUGUGUAAAGGAAGCUUCGGCCUCCGCAUCGGGAUCGGCCCGCGGCCCAUUAGCUUGUUGGUGAGGUAACGGCUCACCAAGGCUGCGAUGGGUAGCUGGUCUGAGAGGACGAUCAGCCACACUGGGACUGAGACACGGCCCAGACUCCUACGGGAGGCAGCAGUGGGGAAUCUUGCGCAAUGCGCGAAAGCGUGACGCAGCAACGCCGCGUGGGGGAAGACGGCCUUCGGGUUGUAAAACCCUGUCAGUUGGGACGAAGGUCGGGCGGUUAACAGCCGUUCCGGCUGACGGUACCUUCACAAGAAGCCCCGGCUAACUACGUG